rnacentral:rRNA from 1 species
GACGAACGCUGGCGGCGUGCCUAACACAUGCAAGUCGAGCGGAGUCAGUAAGAGGAAGUUUUCGGAUGGAAUCUUAUUGAUUUAGCGGCGGACGGGUGAGUAACGCGUGAGCGACCAACCUUGCACAGGGGGAUAACGGACCGAAAGGUUCACUAAUACCGCAUGAGACCACGGUGUUGCAUGACACAGGGGUCAAAGGAGUAAUCCGGUGCAAGACGGGCUCGCGUCCGAUUAGGUAGUUGGAGGGGUAACGGCCCACCAAGCCUAUGAUCGAGGGCCGACCGAAGCGGGUGAUCGGCCACAUUGAAACUGAGAUACGGUCCAAACUCCUACGGGAGGCAGCAGUGGGGAAUAUUGGGCAAUGGGGGAAACCCUGACCCAGCAACGCCGCGUGAAGGAAGAAGGUUUUCGGAUUGUAAACUUCUGUCCUUGGUGAAGAGAAGAAGACGGUAGCCAAGGAGGAAGCCCCGGCUAACUACGUGCCAGCCGCCGCGGUAA